rnacentral:piRNA from 1 species
UGGCCUGUGGGACACCUUCCCUCUGU